CAUUCAGAGGCAGAGACAGGGCCAGCGCAGCUAAAACAAUCAAGCUUCUAGGUCAGAGAGGACUAAGCUAGGCUCUGCCUGAACUCACACAUACACUCACUAAGCACAAAAGGAGGAAGACAGACAGACAGACAGACAGACAGACAGACAGACAGACAGACAGACAGAGCUAGAGGCAAAGGAGGGGGGAGCAGAAUCACAUUAGAGAUUAGGGGAGGGGACUGGUCUGACAGGGGAGGGUGACUCAGGAAAAGGGCAGGCUGAGGGGUCCAGGCUUAGCUGCUCCUUCAAAGCCUCUCGGGGUACUCUUGCUGUCACAGCCCAAAGACCUCUGUGCAGCUCCGACUGUAUCCGGAUCUUUGUGACCUUCUCCAGCAUGCUUCUUGUCUUCGUCCUGGGUGGGAUCUUGUUCUUCCAUCAAAGAAGAAAUCAUGGGCCAAGUAAGGCACAGGCCUUCCCUCCUGCCCUCUCAGCUCUGCCACCCACACCUAAAGCCCCCAUCCCACCUUCACCCACCUUCUCUGGUUCUUCAAGUGUCCUUCCCUCAGGCUCCCCUGGCUCCCCCAUGCCCCAUCCUCCACUCUGGCCUUCUCCUCUCUCCUCACCUUCCCCUCUCUUCUCUCCACUGCUGACCAACACUUGGCUAAUUGUCUUUGCACAGAUGAAGAUAGCCAGGCAGUACCUGAAGAGCUUUGUCCUUACAGCUGCCCUAGGGAGGAGGAGGGCAGUGUCAUCCCUAUCCAGGAAGACUACCGGAAACCUGAGCCUGCUUCCUACCCUUGAUGCGGUGCUGGGGGGUCGGAGCGGGGCGGCUUUCCACUGAGGUAGCAUCCAGAGAACUCUGGCUCCUGCCCUACCACCCUCAUCAGAACAGUUUCCUGUGUAUACUCGACGGAUUGCCCUUCUGAGACCGACAGGGACAAGAGCAGGAGCCCGGUGUAUGGGGGAGACUCAGGCUCUAGCUGUAAAACAGCUU
rnacentral:lncRNA from 1 species